AUGUUGUAUGAAAGGAGAGAAGGUUAGCCCUCUCCUUGACAAGAGUGAAGGCCCUUGAGCCUGACAACACUCAUAUGGUUAAGGCAUUGCCACCUACUUUGUGGCAUCUAAUCAUCAUUUUUC
ensembl:snRNA